rnacentral:lncRNA from 10 species
AGACCAGGCCUCGCGGCCCCGGCCGGCGUGAGCCGUACAAAAUCUACGUCACUUGGGGUAGAAAAACAAAAACACCGAAAAGCCCACGCCGGCCGCUCUGACCGGCCGACACGCUCACUUGCGGCCCUUGGGCACUUUGGGGACGCUGGGCUUGGCCGCCUUCUUCACCUUCUUGCCCCCGGCGGCCGCCGUCUUCUUGGCCUUGCCGCCUUUGUCCUUCUUGGCGCCAGCGCCCUUCUUGUGCGAGCGCUGCUCCGGCUUCUGGCCCCUGGCGGGCUUCUUGUCCGCGCGCCGGGAGCCGGCCGCGCCCGGGGCUGCCUUCUUCGCUUUGUGCGCGGUGGGGGCCGGGGCGGUGGCGGCCGCCGGGGCUCCGCGCCGCUCCCCGCCGCCCUCCAGCUUCUUGCGGUUGAGCUUGAAGGAACCGUUGGCGCCGGUGCCCUUCACCUGCAGAAGCGUGUCGUUCUGCACCAGCGCCUUGAUCGAGUACUUGAGGACACCUGCUCCACUUCACCUUUUGCCAUGAGUAAAAGCUCCCUGAGGCCUCCCAAGAAGUUGAUGCCCUGUGCUUCCUGUACAGCUGCGGAACCGGAUGGCUUUCCGUGGCUUUGCUACAGCCACUCCUGGAAGUGCUGCCUGACUGAAUCCUCAGGGCACCCCGGCAGGAUGGACGUGGUGUACCCCCUACUUUACAGAUGGGGAAACUGAGGCUUGAGAGCUAAAGCAGCCCACCCAGCUCCCAGAGAUGAGGAGGCCGACUCUGGCAGGAGUCACUGUCGGUGCAUGGGCAUUUCUUCCUGUUACAGCCUGCGGCCCCUUCCAGGCCGGGAGGCCUUCUGCGCAGGUGCCCUGACGUGAUGGUAUGACCCAUUCUGGGAGGCCGAGAGCACCUCAAAGAACUCAGCAGGAAGCACAGUUUCAAUUCAGAAGUUCUGGAAGGCGAGGCAGGACAGGGCACCCUCCCUGCAUGGCCCGAUGACCUGCACUCCUGUUUCAUCUCCCCGUGUGGCACCUGGGGCAGCUUGGAGCCUACCAAGGUCUCAACAAGGAACCAGUAAAUACCAAAAAAAGGACAUCACGUCCCCUACAGCUAACUGCAAAUGGUGACCAUCCCAGCCCUUGUUUGAUAACACAAGCAAAGCAAUGGCUUCUUCAAGGACACCGAGAGGAACCUCACCUCUUUCUAAAACCUCCAACACAGGGCCAGGCGCGGUGGCUCAUGCGUGUAAUCCCAGCACUUUGGGAGGCCGAGGCAGGUGGAUCACGAGGUCAGGAGAUCGAGACCAUCCUGGCUAACACGGUGAAACCCCGUCUCUACUAAAAAUAAAAAAAAUUAGCCGGGCGUGGUGGUGUGCGCCUGUAGUCCCAGCUGCUCGGGGAGGCUGAGGUAGGAGAAUAGCGUGAACCCAGAAGGUGGAGGUAGCAGUGAGCCGAGAUCACUCCACUGCACUCCAGCCUGGGCAACAGAGCAAGACUCCAUCUCAAAAAACAAACAAACCUCCAACACCACCUGGAAGGGCCUGGAGGCACUCACUGAUGAGCCUGGAAUUUCUCACAGGGGACAGAGAGGUGGCCAAGGCUCCUGCACAUUUCCCCAUCUGUCUGACACCCCUUUCCAGAACCAGAAAGCGUGCUGAGCUCGGCCUCUGUCACGCAGGGUUCCAGGUAUUUCUGGGGCUCAGCAGGGAGAAGGCCAGGACGUGCUCCCUGACUCUCGGCAGGGCGGGAGAAGAAUGAAUCCUCUGAGGUCCCCAGCUUGGGGAAAAGGGGGUGGGAGAGUGGCGGGCAGAGACCUCCUCCGUAUCCCCCUCUCCUGAAGCCCUGCCGCUGUGGCAGCCCUACAGGGACUACAGGGCUCCAGCCCUACAGGGACUCUGCGGUGGGGCGGGUGUGCAGGCUCACAGGCUCUGGAAAUGCCCCAGGAUGCCUUGGCAGUGUCUCCCACAGACCCAGGAGCGCCACUAGAAACAGGACCCUUCCUCAGUCAUCCUGCAUGGGGGCUCCUGUUGCUUUGGGGGCUGCUUUCCAGCAGCUGCGUCAGACAACGACCCACCUCAUCCCCCCAGCCAGGACCUGAACAGGCACUGACGUCAGAUACGUAGACCUUGUUGCUGAACUUGUCAAAAACUUCAAUGGUGAUUUCAUACAGGCGGCCGGUCUCCAGCACCCACCUAUCACCAGGGUGAAUGGUGAACCCUAAAACAGGCAGGGGGAGCCUGAGCACUCAGGCCUCAGGGGCAGCAGGGUGGAGGAGGAUGGGACCACCACCCUCAGCACAGGGGCCCUCAGCAUCCACAUGGGAAGCCCCACUCCACCCACCUGUAGGCCCCACACCACCCACCUGCAGGCCCCACACCACUUACCUGGAGGCCCCACACCACCCACCUAGGGGCCCCACAAUUAUGGCGCUGGCCUCCUCCACAGAGAGGGACCUGUUGCUGAGGAACAGAUGCCUGAUGCCGCCUUCAGCCCUGAGUCCUGAGCUGACCUCCCGAGGACCAAACCUGGACUCAUCCCAUUCUAUCUGAACAAGGCUCCUUCAAACUUGUUCCUGUUCCUCAGUGGGUCUACACUCAGAAUCCUAGCAGCUCUGUCCUUAACACACAGCAGGUCUAUGCUCUGAAGUGAUAAUAGAUCUAUAGUGUUCACAGUAGAACUAGUCUGAACCUUCAGGGGGUCUGUGCUCUGAGGAGGGAUGGACAUAGACUCCAAGAAAGUGAUGAUUCUGGAAAAGGAACGCGUUGUUAAAGUUUGUUGAUCAAACCCAGACACAAGGUCUGUCAGAAUCUACCACAGCAUUCCCUAUCAGCCCCUCCCACUGGGGCCAACACUGAAGAAAUAAGGGGUGUCCCGUUAGUCAGGGCUGGGGCUACCUAGAGACAUGUCCCUGCAGCUUCCUACAUCAGAUCUGCCCAUGUCCUUGUGAAAAAUGCAGAUGCUUGGCCCCUGGCCCAGGCUGUGUCUGCAAGAAGCCUGGGAAACUCCAUUUUAUCCACCUGCAUACGUGAUGGAAACACUGACAUGCAAGACCAGCCGCUGAGUCCACACAGGAACAAUGAGGCCUGAGAGAUGAGGCAACAGGCCCAAGAACACAGCCCAGCCGAGGCCGGACCAGCAGCGCCCUCGCCUCCCUGAGGCUGCCUGCUCCUGUCCCACCUCCCUGGCCUACCACCCAGCUCUGGGGAACGAUUCUCCAUGACUGGUCCCUUAGCCCUGGGGACCGGACGGCACCACGUCUCACUCUCCCCAGAUCCCAGCUUGGGGAGAUGUCGGGGACGUGGUGUAGCAUGGAGUGUGGGCUGCUGGGCAGGCUGACUUCAGGGAUCCUUCCCACGCAGCCUCCCACUUCAGCCUGCAUUUACAAACGAGCCCACUGUUCCCCUGCACAAGAGCAAUCUGCCGCCAUGCUUCCAUCUCCCCAGCAUCUGCCGGUGCCGGGCCACGCCGUAAUUUAUUUCCUCGCCUGGUUACUCUAGGUGUCACAUGUCAAAUUGACCACAAAUCCAGGACAAUCCAGCUCCAACCUGCCUUGGUGUCUGGGAUUUCUGUUAUCAUUCGGCUCAGGUGCAGAGCUGCCUGGAAGCUUGGGGGGCCUGACAUGGCAGGGGACGGGGCUGUCAGAAGGGGACAGGGAACCAGCAUCCCCUCAACAUCCAACAUGCGCCAGGCCCAGAGAGGGGCCCUGAGCGGAUCAAUCUGCCGAGCUGGGCAUGGGAUCCCCUCCAGCUCUGUUUCCCAGGGCAGGAGGCUGAGGCUCAGGUGGGUAACGUUCCCUGGCUAAGGCCACAGGCAGGAAGUGACAAGGCCAGGACUGGAAUCCAGGUCUCUGACUCUCCGGCUCGUGGUCAUAGUUUUACAAAACACCAGAAACUGCAGAGCUGGUCCAGAAAGCUCUGCCUCCAGGAGGGCGACUCAGCUCUCAAAGGCAUCAGGACGUGAGGACGUCUGCCUGGAGUCACCGUGAGCUGAGUUCUGGAGAAGGUUGUGAUGGAGGAACCACCACGUCCCCAUCAUCCCCUACGGCCCAGAGCUGGACUUUAAUGGCGUAAUUGUGGGCGGAUCACGAGGUUAGGAGAUCGAGACCAUCCUGGCCAACAUGGUGAAACCCCAUCUCUACUAAAAAUACAAAAAUUAGCUGAACGUGGUGGGUGCCUGUAAUCUCAGUACUCAGGAGACUGAGGCAGGAGAAUUGCUUGAACCCGGGAGGCAGAGGUUGCAGUGAGCCGAGAUUGCGCCACUGCACUCCAGCCUGGUGACAGAGUGAGACUCCAUCUCAAAAAAAAAAAAAAAAAAAAAAAAACCAGAAGAUGGUAAACUCCCCAACAAAGGACUUAUAAUUACAAAGGGGUGAGAAGGUGACUUCCCCAGAUCAGAAGCAAGUGGAAGAAUGGAGUCUCACUUCGGUGAUAUUCCUGCCAAAGACGCAGUGCUCAGAGCCUGGCCAUGAGGGAACAGCAGAUAAACCCAAAAUGAGAGCUGCUCUACAGAUAACCAGACUGUCCUCUUCACAAGUGUCACGGUGUCCAAAGUCAAAGCCCAGGAGGCUGUCCCGGGCUGACAGAGACUAAGAGAAACAGGACACAUGCGGCAGGUGACUCAGGGCUGGGGUUUUUCUUUUUGCUGAAAGGGAUAAAACUGGGACAAAUGGCUGGGCACGGUGGCUCAUGCCUGUAAUCCCAGCACUUUGGGAGGCUGAGGUGGGCAGAUCAUGAGGUCAAGAGAUCGAGACCAUCCUGGCCAACAUGGUGAAACCCCAUGUGUACUAAAAAUACAAAAAGUAGUUGGGCGUGGUGGUGCACACCUGUAGUCCUAGCUACUCGGGAGGCUGAGGCAGGAAAUUUACUUGAACCCUGGAGGCAGAGGUUGAAGUGAGCCGAGACUGCACCACUGCACUCCAGCCUAGUGACAGAGGGAGACUGUCUAAAAAAAAAAAAAAGGGCUGGGCCAGAUGUGGUGGCUCAUGCCUUUAAUCCCAGCACUUUGGGAGGCCCAGGCGGGCAGAUCACGAGGUCAGGAGAUUGAGACCAUCCUGACUAACACAGUGAAACCCCGUCUUUACUAAAAAUACAAAAAAAAAUUAGCUGUGUAUGGUGGCGCGCGCCUGUAGUCCCAGCUACUCGGGAGGCUGAGGGCAGAAGAAUCGCUUGAACCCGGGAGGUGGAGGUUGCAGUGAGCCAAGAUUGUGCCACUGCACUCCAGCCUGGGCGACAGAGUAAGACUCUGUCUCAAUUUAAAAAAAAAAAAAAACCGAGACAAAUGAGCAAACUCGAAUGAGGUCUGAAGAUGGUCGGCAUCAGUGUUCGUUUCCUAGCACCAUAACUGCACGGUGGCCAUGCAGGACAACGUCACUAAUGGUCGUAAAGCACUUGAAAAUCAUCAGGGUGAUGGGACAUGAGGCUGGCAACCGGCUUUCAGCUCCCUUCCAAGGCUUCAUAGCCUCAAGUGUAACCCUCGUGCUCCCCAGCAGCCUCUCCCAUUGGGUCCUACCUGGAGUGGAGUCCCCUACCUCCCGUCUUCAUCCUCACUGCUGCGUGCACCACAUGGUGUCCAGGGGCCACAAACAUCAGCAAGAAGGGUAUUCCAGAGAGUGACUCACCCAUCCCUCCUACUCCAUUGAGGUCACAUUAGAUGACACAAGAUCAUGCUUCUCUGUCCUCUGGGCUCUCUUACCCUCCCUGGGCUCUAUGGAGUUCGAGACCAUCAAUGAGGCGUUGCUGACAAUUGUAAACCAUCAAGUGAGAAGGUCUCCUUUCCUCCUCUCACUUCCCCAUUUUUGCUGCAAUGUUACAGCUCUCGCUACAGACUUA